CCAUUCUCUUAGUCCAAGCUGAAAUGGUUGAUCGACCACAUUGGGGAUGAAAAAAUCCCAAGACAAGUGAGUACAGCAGUGAGGAAUUUUGGUCAAUGGCCUAACGGCUGAGCUGGUAAUUUGGAGGAACGCUAUAAAUCGAUUUAUCGAAUAAAGUUCUGUAUACAUAUUUAUAAUGACAAUAUGUACAUAUGUCUUGACUAAUUACGUGCCAGCAGUCGCGGCAAUACGUAAGAGACUAGUGUUAUUCAUCAUAAAUAGGUUUAAAGGGUACUUAGACGGGAAAAUUUGCCUUGAUUGGUACGAUUUUUCUAGAGUUUUAUGUGAAAAGGUAGUACUCAUGUGUGAAGAGAUAAAAUUUGUUGAUACCUAGGAGGACUGGUAAAGGCGAAGGCAACCUUUUAUGUAAAAACUGACGUUAAAGGACGAAGGCACAGGGCACGAACAGGAUUAGAUACCCUAAUAGUCUUUGCAGAGAAUUAUGAAUGCCAUAGGUUAGAUAGAGGUCAGGUACCUAAACGAUUAAAAUAUGGAGGCUUUUUUUACCGGCUCCGCCGCUGAAAAUAAAAAAGAUACAUUUUUAUAGGUAACCGAGAUUUGUCUGUAAUUCUUCUAAACAUGGAAUUAUAAAGAUAGAUUUCUUUAGAGAUCUCGAACAUUUAGUCUAUAAACGAAAGUGUAAGCAUUUCACCUCAUGAGUAAUGUGGCAACACAGGAACUGAAAUCACUAGACCGUUUCUGACACC
rnacentral:rRNA from 1 species